AUUGAACGCUGGCGGCAGGCCUAACACAUGCAAGUCGAGCGGAUGAAGGGAGCUUGCUCCCUGAUUUAGCGGCGGACGGGUGAGUAAUGCCUAGGAAUCUGCCUGGUAGUGGGGGACAACGUUUCGAAAGGAACGCUAAUACCGCAUACGUCCUACGGGAGAAAGUGGGGGAUCUUCGGACCUCACGCUAUCAGUUGAGCCUAGGUCGGAUUAGCUAGUUGGUGAGGUAAAGGCUCACCAAGGCGACGAUCCGUAACUGGUCUGAGAGGAUGAUCAGUCACACUGGAACUGAGACACGGUCCAGACUCCUACGGGAGGCAGCAGUGGGGAAUAUUGGACAAUGGGCGAAAGCCUGAUCCAGCCAUGCCGCGUGUGUGAAGAAGGUCUUCGGAUUGUAAAGCACUUUAAGUUGGGAGGAAGGGCAGUAAGUUAAUACCUUGCUGUUUUGACGUUACCAACAGAAUAAGCACCGGCUAACUUCGUGCCAGCAGCCGCAGUAA
rnacentral:rRNA from 1 species